GAAUUUUGGACAAUGGGGGCAACCCUGAUCCAGCCAUCCCGCGUGUGCGAUGAAGGCCUUCGGGUUGUAAAGCACUUUUGGCAGGGAGGAAAAGGCUCUGGCUAAUACCUGGCGUGGCUGACGGUACCGGCAGAAGCAGCACCGGCUAACAACUUGCCAGCAGCCGCGGUAAUACGUAGGGUGCAAGCGUUAAUCGGAAUUACUGGGCGGAAAGCGUGCGCAGGCGGUUCGGCAAGAAGGAUGUGAAAUCCCAGGGCUUAACCUUGGAACUGCAUUCUUAACUGCCGGGCUAGAGUAUGUCAGAGGGGGGUAGAAUUCCGCGUGUAGCAGUGAAAUGCGUAGAGAUGCGGAGGAAUACCGAUGGCGAAGGCAGCCCCCUGGGAUAAUACUGACGCUCAUGCACGAAAGCGUGGGGAGCAAAC
rnacentral:rRNA from 1 species